rnacentral:pre_miRNA from 1 species
UCCCGAGGUUUUCCUCGGCAGUUAAUUGCCGCCGGUUUACUAAAAUUUCGACAGUUAACUGCCGAAGGGCAU